AGAACCUGAAACCGUGUGCUUACAAGUAGUCAGAGCCCGUUAAUGGGUGAUGGCGUGCCUUUUGUAGAAUGAACCGGCGAGUUACGAUUUGAUGCAAGGUUAAGCAGUAAAUGUGGAGCCGUAGCGAAAGCGAGUCUGAAUAGGGCGUUUAGUAUUUGGUCGUAGACCCGAAACCAGGUGAUCUACCCUUGGUCAGGUUGAAGUUCAGGUAACACUGAAUGGAGGACCGAACCGACUUACGUUGAAAAGUGAGCGGAUGAACUGAGGGUAGCGGAGAAAUUCCAAUCGAACCUGGAGAUAGCUGGUUCUCUCCGAAAUAGCUUUAGGGCUAGCCUCAAGUGAUGAUUAUUGGAGGUAGAGCACUGUUUGGACGAGGGGCCCCUCUCGGGUUACCGAAUUCAGACAAACUCCGAAUGCCAAUUAAUUUAACUUGGGAGUCAGAACAUGGGUGAUAAGGUCCGUGUUCGAAAGGGAAACAGCCCAGACCACCAGCUAAGGUCCCAAAAUAUAUGUUAAGUGGAAAAGGAUGUGGCGUUGCCCAGACAACUAGGAUGUUGGCUUAGAAGCAGCCAUCAUUUAAAGAGUGCGUAAUAGCUCACUAGUCGAGUGACACUGCGCCGAAAAUGUACCGGGGCUAAACAUAUUACCGAAGCUGUGGAUUGUCCUUUGGACAAUGGUAGGAGAGCGUUCUAAGGGCGUUGAAGCAUGAUCGUAAGGACAUGUGGAGCGCUUAGAAGUGAGAAUGCCGGUGUGAGUAGCGAAAGACGGGUGAGAAUCCCGUCCACCGAUUGACUAAGGUUUCCAGAGGAAGGCUCGUCCGCUCUGGGUUAGUCGGGUCCUAAGCUGAGGCCGACAGGCGUAGGCGAUGGAUAACAGGUUGAUAUUCCUGUACCACCUAUAAUCGUUUUAAUCGAUGGGGGGACGCAGUAGGAUAGGCGAAGCGUGCGAUUGGAUUGCACGUCUAAGCAGUAAGGCUGAGUAUUAGGCAAAUCCGGUACUCAUUAAGGCUGAGCUGUGAUGGGGAGAAGACAUUGUGUCUUCGAGUCGUUGAUUUCACACUGCCGAGAAAAGCCUCUAGAUAGAAAAUAGGUGCCCGUACCGCAAACCGACACAGGUAGUCAAGAUGAGAAUUCUAAGGUGAGCGAGCGAACUCUCGUUAAGGAACUCGGCAAAAUGACCCCGUAACUUCGGGAGAAGGGGUGCUCUUUAGGGUUAACGCCCAGAAGAGCCGCAGUGAAUAGGCCCAAGCGACUGUUUAUCAAAAACACAGGUCUCUGCUAAACCGUAAGGUGAUGUAUAGGGGCUGACGCCUGCCCGGUGCUGGAAGGUUAAGAGGAGUGGUUAGCUUCUGCGAAGCUACGAAUCGAAGCCCCAGUAAACGGCGGCCGUAACUAUAACGGUCCUAAGGUAGCGAAAUUCCUUGUCGGGUAAGUUCCGACCCGCACGAAAGGCGUAACGAUUUGGGCACUGUCUCAACGAGAGACUCGGUGAAAUCAUAGUACCUGUGAAGAUGCAGGUUACCCGCGACAGGACGGAAAGACCCCGUGGAGCUUUACUGUAGCCUGAUAUUGAAAUUCGGCACAGCUUGUACAGGAUAGGUAGGAGCCUUUGAAACGUGAGCGCUAGCUUACGUGGAGGCGCUGGUGGGAUACUACCCUAGCUGUGUUGGCUUUCUAACCCGCACCACUUAUCGUGGUGGGAGACAGUGUCAGGCGGGCAGUUUGACUGGGGCGGUCGCCUCCUAAAAGGUAACGGAGGCGCUCAAAGGUUCCCUCAGAAUGGUUGGAAAUCAUUCAUAGAGUGUAAAGGCAUAAGGGAGCUUGACUGCGAGACCUACAAGUCGAGCAGGGUCGAAAGACGGACUUAGUGAUCCGGUGGUUCCGCAUGGAAGGGCCAUCGCUCAACGGAUAAAAGCUACCCCGGGGAUAACAGGCUUAUCUCCCCCAAGAGUUCACAUCGACGGGGAGGUUUGGCACCUCGAUGUCGGCUCAUCGCAUCCUGGGGCUGUAGUCGGUCCCAAGGGUUGGGCUGUUCGCCCAUUAAAGCGGUACGCGAGCUGGGUUCAGAACGUCGUGAGACAGUUCGGUCCCUAUCCGUCGUGGGCGUAGGAAAUUUGAGAGGAGCUGUCCUUAGUACGAGAGGACCGGGAUGGACAUACCUCUGGUGUACCAGUUGUCGUGCCAACGGCAUA
rnacentral:rRNA from 1 species